UUGACAAUUGGACCGUGAAGGCAUACUUUCAGGAAUGAGGGUUGAGCGGGGUUUCCCCCGCCCUGGUAGUCUUAGUAAGCCGGGAAGCUUAUGACUAAGAGCACCACGAUGAUGAUCCACUUCAUCAUGACCCUUUCCUUAUU
rfam:Escherichia coli CFT073, complete genome.